GUUGGGAUAGCUCAGUCGGUAGAGCAUGAGAUUCUUAAUCUCAGGUUCGUGGGUUCGAGCCCCACUCUGGGCA